rnacentral:rRNA from 2 species
AUUAGUUUGAUCAUGGCUCAGAUUGAACGCUGGCGGCAAGCCUAACACAUGCAAGUCGAGCGGCAGCGAAAGAAAUUCUUGUCGGCGAGCGGCAAACGGGUGAGUAAUAUCUGGGGAUCUACCCAAAUAAGGGGGACAACUACUGGAAACGGCAGCUAAUACCGCAUAAUGAAACUAAAGGUAGGGGAUUUACCUUACGUUUUUGGAUGAACCCAGAUGAGAUUAGCUAGAUGGUAAGGUAGAGGCUUACCAUGGCGACGAUCUCUAGCUGGUCUGAGAGGACGAUCAGCCACACUGGAACUGAGACACGGUCCAGACUCCUACGGGAGGCAGCAGUGGGGAAUAUUGCACAAUGGGCGAAAGCCUGAUGCAGCUAUGCCGCGUGUAUGAAGAAGGCCUUAGGGUUGUAAAGUACUUUCGUUAGGGAGGAAAGAGAAUAAUACAUGCAUUUUAUGACGUUACCUAAAAAAGAAGCACCGGCUAACUCCGUGCCAGCAGCCGCGGUAAUACGGAGGGUGCUAGCGUUAAUCAGAAUUACUGGGCGUAAAGAGCACGUAGGUUGUUUUUUAAGUCAGAUGUGAAAUCCCUGGGCUUAACCUAGGAAUUGCAUUUGAAACUAGAAGGCUAGAGUAUCGUAGAGGGAGGUAGAAUUCUAGGUGUAGCGGUGAAAUGCGUAGAUAUCUGGAGGAAUACCAGUGGCGAAAGCGGCCUCCUGACGAAUACUGACACUGAGGUGCGAAAGCGUGGGGAGCAAACAGGAUUAGAUACCCUGGUAGUCCAUGCUGUAAACGAUGUCGACUUGGAGGUUGUUUCUUGAGAAAUGACUUCCGAAGCUAACGCAUUAAGUCGACCGCCUGGGGAGUACGGCCGCAAGGCUAAAACUCAAAUGAAUUGACGGGGGCCCGCACAAGCGGUGGAGCAUGUGGUUUAAUUCGAUGCAACGCGAAGAACCUUACCUGGUCUUGACAUCCAUAGAAUUUUUUAGAGAUAAGAAAGUGCCUUCGGGAACUAUGAGACAGGUGCUGCAUGGCUGUCGUCAGCUCGUGUUGUGAAGUGUUGGGUUAAGUCCCGCAACGAGCGCAACCCUUGUCCUCUGUUGCCAGCGGUUCGGCCGGGAACUCAGAGGAAACCGCCGGUUAUAAACCGGAGGAAUGUGGGGACGACGUCAAGUCAUCAUGGCCCUUACGACCAGGGCUACACACGUGCUACAGUGGCGUAUACAAAGAGAAGCAACUCUGUAAAGACAAGCAAAUCUCAUAAAGUGCGUCGUAGUUCGGAUUGGAGUCUGCAACUCGACUCCAUGAAGUCGGAAUCGCUAGUAAUCGUGGAUCAGAAUGCCACGGUGAAUACGUUCCCGGGCCUUGUACACACCGCCCGUCACACCAUGGGAGUGGAUUGCAAAAGAAGCAAGUUGUUUAAUAAAAAAAAAAACGAAGGACGCUUACCACUUUGUGA